rnacentral:rRNA from 1 species
UACGUAGGGUGCGAGCGUUGUCCGGAAUUAUUGGGCGUAAAGAGCUCGUAGGCGGUCUGUCACGUCGGCUGUGAAAACCCGGGGCUCAACCCCGGGCCUGCAGUCGAUACGGGCAGACUAGAGUGCGGUAGGGGAGACUGGAAUUCCUGGUGUAGUGGUGAAAUGCGCAGAUAUCAGGAGGAACACCGGUGGCGAAGGCGGGUCUCUGGGCCGUAACUGACGCUGAGGAGCGAAAGCGUGGGGAGCGAACAGG